UUAUUUUAAUCUCCCUAAAAUAAAUCAUAGCGGAUAAAAUUACGUUGUUAGUAUUGUAUUGCAUAAGGUGACGUAUCAGUUUAUUAUACUGGAACCCCAGAUGAGUCAAUACUGAAACGUUUUCAAAUGUAUAGACCGCAUUAGCACUGAAUUGCAUAAGGUGACGUAUCAGUUUAUUAAACUGGAACAAAGGGUUACCGAACCCAAGAUGAGUCAAUACUGAAACGUGAUCAAACAAGUAGACCGCACCCUAUAUAUGGAAAUCAACCAGUCCUAAAAUGAAUCAUAAACAAUUAAAUCACAUAUAUAUUGUAUAACCUAAUAGUACUGAUACGUUCUAUUAUAUUGCAAUAAAUGAUUACCUUCAUUAAGUUUAUUGUAACUAUAUAUAAAAUCUAAUCUAACUGUACGCAUUACUUUUUUUCAGAUAAAGGAAAUCAUUUAAGUACUUUUAUUAUGUAGAAAAAAAAACCUUGAAGUUAAAUACCUUAUUUCCUUUUCUAAAUAUAUAUCAAAUCUAUAUUAUUGAUUUUAAACAUUUAUUGGGUGUAAAUAAUAAAGAGAUGUUUGAUAAAAGUAUAGAUACCGGUUUUUUCGACAUAAAUGUUAUAUUUACAAACCAAUCGUAACUUUUGUCCGCAGGUCAUCUCUUCGGAGAGAAAAACUGAAAAAGCCGCAAACUGAGAUACUUCCCCACUCGGGGAACCAUCUCAAAAAGUGAGGAGGAUGUUAUUUACCCCUAACCACGAGGGAGAAAGAAAACAAGAAAUAGAGAAAGAAGAAAAGAAGCAGGAUGUGCUCUGGCAUGCAGGGAUUUUACGUAUAGCGAGCUAUGGCGUUAAGAAACAUUGAUAUAAUAGAAGAAAAUAUGUUAAGGUUAUCAAAUCAGCUGAAGAUAGUAAAACACCAAAUAAGAGAAAUGAAAGAUGAUUUUUAAAUGUGAAAAAAA